GCUUGCAGUCGAGAUAAUCGGCAUACGGGGGUACCGUUGCUCAGGAUGGAACGACGAAGAGGACUCUUCCUCCGGUGUCGCUCUUCCCGCGAACGCAACGACCGGACGUGGCGAGCCUUCCAUUAAUGCGCCGAUCAAAGGACCAAGCUCCUUUUUGCCGAAGUCAUACCCUCGUGUACGACCUUCCCAGAAUAAUCAACCCGGGACGAUACUUUUUUGCACGGAAAAAAAAAGGAACAAGAGAGAGAA